AGAUGGCAAAUGUCUUCCCGUGUUGAAGAAACGCAGAGGACAAGCCGCUGGCGGCCUGCAUCGUACUUCCAAACUCCGACGGCGCCUUCUGUUUACCAACGCGUAACACGAUCCAAGAGGAAGUCUGAGACUCCAGCUCUUGCAGCUUUCCAUGGUAAUCUACUCAAUCUCCAGGCUCCAGAACCCAUGGUUCAAAUCAUCGCACUCCCACACACCGACAAAACAGCUGACCAGCCACAGCUAAAAUAAGAUAGGGUGGCCUAAUAACAUGCUAUAAUUAUAGGCAUUGCAUUAAGAGAUAAGCCAUAACCAAGCAGGAAGUGAGAUUAUAGAGCAAUGCAGCGUGGGGACCAGGUACAAUGACGAUGUUAAUCACAUGCAGAUGCAAUGCUACAGGUGGUCUGCUUUAAAAAAAAAGCAUAGAGUGAAUGGUUUCUUUUGGAGUUGGGAGCCGGGAUGAUGUAAAGCACGGCGCCCCACUUGGAAGACAAUGGAUGUGUUUGCAUGGACUUUCUAUGCGAUUGGCCCACAAGAAGCUCCGCUAUGACCCAAAUACUAUCAAACUUGUGCGGAAAGGCCAACGCUGAGUGCAAAUGCCAGUAUGAUCAUCCGAUCUUGAGUUCUGUCCAUGCCCCUCUAGUAAUUGGACUUGGGAGUAGCGGACAUAAUAGAUAAAUCCCAAGAACAAAAUCCAUAAUAAAGUACAGGAGUGCUACAAAUAAAAUGAAAUUACAGAGAAGGAGAGGUUCUCUAGAGAGAGGUUUUCUACCCUCGACCAAACAAGGAGACGGGAUGCAAGGUUACUCUAAAACCACAUAAGACGCAUGAAUCAUGACCUGCCAGUGACCGCUUCGUUGAACUAGAAUCUACCAUCCCUUGUAUUCACGAAAGACAAUCACUCCCAUAUCUGUCAACACCACAACAAACAAUCAAAAAGGUGUACAGAAAUCUCCAUUACCGUACACCAUAGAGUGACAUAAUAAAAGUAUUAGUAAAAAACUGUUGAUUUCCCUUUCGAUAAACACGUGAAUUGUACGCCGGGAAUACAAUGUAAACAAAUGACAUAAACUGUAAAAUAUGUGGUUACAUACAAAACCCAUAGCGCCACCGCUGACUAGACGCAGAAAAGGAUGUUCUGAGGUGCACGAAAAAUGGAAGCGAAAACAUCUAGAAGUGAGUCUGCUGAUUUUUCAGUGUCAAUUCGACACAUAAUCUUCGGCCACAAACAGGCCGAUUUCACCUGUGCUCUGACUGGACAGACGGGACGAUGGGACGCAGGAAGGUGGCUGGGCAAAAAGCUUUGUCUUUUUAUAUAUAUCUUCAGAUAUAUAUCUUCAGAUAAAAAGACAAAGCUUAACUCUACUCUCUGCUCCCUACUGUGUGCAUACUUCUUUGUACGGAGGAGAAGCACAUUUUUAUGCCAUGCUAAGCCCACAAUUAUACCAGCUCCACAAUUACAGACCGACAAGCAACAGGUGAAAUAGUGUGUGUCUGUGCGUUUGUCCUGGGGAUGACCGCAUAUUAGUAUAGUAUAAACACACACAAUGGCUGACCUGCACACAGUUCAUUAGUUUCUUUGUUGAGUAUAAGGGAGUUUGUACCAAACAAGUACUUGUUACCAGGCAAAGGCCCUUCAACACAAAUGAUGAAAAGAACUUAUUUUUUCAGACAGACAAAUAAAUAGUACUGAAAGUACAAUCCCAUGGUGAAAAGAACAAACAAAGCACUCUUUAUAUCCAGGGUUGAAAUCAUA
ensembl:lncRNA